UACGAAGGGGGCUAGCGUUGCUCGGAAUCACUGGGCGUAAAGCGCACGUAGGCGGAUCUUUAAGUCAGGGGUGAAAUCCUGGAGCUCAACUCCAGAACUGCCUUUGAUACUGAAGAUCUUGAGUUCGGGAGAGGUGAGUGGAACUGCGAGUGUAGAGGUGAAAUUCGUAGAUAUUCGCAAGAACACCAGUGGCGAAGGCGGCUCACUGGCCCGAUACUGACGCUAAGGCACGAAAGCGUGGGGAGCAAACAGG
rnacentral:rRNA from 1 species